GGCCUGAGAUUUAUUUUUACACGCUUAUAAUUCUUUAUAUUUAAUUUUCUAUUAGUUUAGUAUAAUAUAAAAGAAGUUGGUGCUUGUUAUUGAAAGCUAAGUGUGUUGUGGAUAGGUUUGCCUGCGUACUGUGCGGAGCAGGCUGGGACGGACGACACAACCAGACGUCAGACACAAGGCACUAGGUUAAAAGGGUGCCAUAAACUGGUGCUUUAUUUAACGUAUUUUCGCAGAACAAGACAGUGACAGGGGCCGUGGUGGGUGCCUGCGUGUGCUGGUGCAAGCUUGGUGCCUGCCGGGAGGUGCCUGCAGUGCCACAAGGGAUAAUAUUGGUAAGAAACCGGCCCACCACUUGUCCAGCCAGCUAAUUUGCACAGUGUGAUGUAACAGGCGGUAACUGUGAUAGUGUUGUUACGUGUCACCCACAACAACAACAACACAGGGCUGUCAGAUACAAAUGUAGAGGGACGAAAUAGGGAAGCAGGAAGACCACCACCACCACCACCAUCACCACCAGCAGUGUGGAAGAAAGUUUAGGCAAGCGAAGAAAGUUGGAAAAUUAAUAAUUAAACGCUUGCUGUCUUUUAUUAUCUUGAGUAUAAAAUGGUUAUAUGACAAUCUCUCUCUCUCUCUCUCUCUCUCUCUCUCUCUCUCUCUCUCUCUCUCUCUCUCUCUCUCUCUCUCUCUCUCUCUCUCUCUCUCUCUCUCUCUCUCUCUCUCUCAGCUUUGUAUUAGUUACCCGUUGACAGAAGUGACAGCCGCGUUUUCUCUUGUCAGAUGUAAACAAAGCGGUAGUUUCCUUCCAGCUGGUGAUAAAACUCUUUCUCGCUCUUCCUCACUCUCCCACGUCACGGAAGCAGUGUGUGUGUGUGUGUGUGUGUGUGUGUGUGUGUGAAGAAGAAAAUGUUAUAUUAUAUCUACGUGUUUAAAAGUUUCCUUCAUUUAAGUCCAAAGAGGCUGGCUGGCUGAUGCUAAGGAAGGAAGAAAGGGGUGGUGUUUAGGGGUCUGGGAUGGAAAGCGAGUGAUGUGUUUUGUAGCCUUCAGAUAAAAAAUAUUAACAAAGUUUACACAGUGGGAAAAUUUUGGUGGUGAGAGAGAAAAUGACUAAAAUAUUACCUCAAAUUUAACCAAACGUGGUGGAGCUUCACACUCCUCAGCUGACCCUAAUCAAACCAAGCCUAACCCAAAGAAGCCUACCCUAACUUCUGUCUGGUGCUUCCUCCUCCCCAAGACUGGCUAUCUCGUGUCUUAAUCCCAAGCUGGCCUAACCAAACUUUACCUAACCUAACCUAAGCAAUUCUAACCUAGCCAAACCUUACCUAAGCAAGCCUAACCUAGCCAAGCCUUACCUAACCUAACCUAACCUAACCUAGCCAAACCUUACCUAAGCAAGCCUAACCUAGCCAAGCCUUACCUAACCUAACCUAACCUAAAGAAACCUAGCCAAACCUAACAUAACCUAGCCUAACCAAACCUAAUCUAACCUACAUCCUCUUCCCACGGCCCCACUUAACCAAACCUAAUGUAACUUUCAGAGCAACGGCAACCCUCCGAUCCGGCAAGCAAGUUGGCGGCAGCGAUGGCGGUGGCGGCGGCAGUGGUGGUGAGGUGGACGGCAGGGACAGAGGGGCAGUACAGGCUGCGGACAUCAAGGAGAAGGUGAGCAGGGUGUUGUGUUGGUGUGUGUUGCUAAGCUGAGAUGCAAUAUUUGUCACUCAACACUCGUGCAACACUGCCUCCAUGCACAAGUGUGUCGGGAAAAUGAUUUAAAGUCGUAAAAAUGUUCUUGUUUUACUUUAUUUAUUUAUUUAUUGAUUUUGUUUUAUUUUUUGUAUAUAUAGGAGGGACACUGGUCAAAGGGAACUAAGUACAAUAAGAAAAAAAUACUGAGAAAAAAUAAAAGAUAAAAAAGACCUCACUUAACCUAACCUAACCUAACAUAAGCUAACUUAACCUAACAUAACUUAGCCUAACCUCUUUUAACCUAACAUAACUUAACCUAACUUAACUUAACCUAACCUAACCUAACUUAACCUAACCUCUUUUAACCUAACCUCUUUUAACCUAACCUAACCUAACUUAACUUAACCUAACCUAACUUAACCUAACCUCACUUAACCUCACUUAACCUAACCUAACGUAACUUAACCUAACCUAACCUAACCUCACUUAACCUAACCUCACUUAACCUAACAUAACCUAACCUCACUUAACCUAACGUAACCUAACCUAACCUAACACCCACAGAGGAACGCACGGACAAGCAAGGUGUUAUUCGGCAGUCUGAUCCUGGACCUGCUCGGCUUGAAGGUGGUGCUGCCCGUGUCUCCUGCUCUCCUCGACUGUUACUCCAAGCACAACACCAGCGGCUUGUAUUCCUCUCAGCUCUCCUGUGUGACUUAUUACCAGCAUAUCAUCGGUUUCGCUGCGAGGUUCCAUUCUGUCUUGUUUGGUAAUUGAGUGGGUUUGUUGUGUUUUGUAUUGGUUUAUAUAUUUUUAGCUUGUUUUUAUUAUUAUUUUUUUCAAUUUUUUUAUCCUAUUAUCUAUUUAUUUAUUUUUUGUUUGUUUGUUUGUUUACAGGGUGUGUGUGUGUUUGUUUGUGUUCCUGCUGUUCAAUAUUGCAGCUUGUUUUCUUUAUUAUUGUUAUUUUGUGUUUUAUUCUAUUUCAGUGUUCUGAGGGAGUCUUCAGGUGUUUUUGGGGUGUUUUGGGGUGUUUUUGGAGUGUUUUGGGGUGUUUUUGGUGUGUUGUGAAGUGUUUUGAUGUGUUUUGGGGUGGUUAAGGGGUGUUUUGAAGUGGUUUGUGGUGUUGUGGAGGUGUUUUGGGAUUUUUGGUGUGUUUUAAAGUGUUUUGGGAUGUUUUUGGAAUGUUUUGAUGUGUUUUGAGAUGUUUAGGAGUAUUUUUGGAGUAUUUUGGUGUGUUUUUGGAGUGUUUUGGGAUGUGUUUGUAGUGUUUUGGGGUGUUUUGGGGUAUUUUGAAGGUGUUUUGGUGUGUUUUUGGAGUGUUUUGGGGUAUUUUGGGAUGUUUUGGUGUGUUUUGGGUUAUUUUGAGAGUGUUUUGGUGUGUUUUUGGAGUGUUUCUGGGUGUUUUGGAGUAUUUUGAGGGUGUUUAAAGGUGUUGUGGUAGUUUAAAAUAUAUUGUUAGUUUACUUUUUUUUAACUUUUUAUUUUCUUAUGCAUUAUUUUAUUUCUUAUUUAUAUUGUGGUGUGUUGUCGGUGUGUCCUAACCUAACCUAACCAGCCUACCCUCUCCUAACCUCCCCUCAACCCACAGGCACUGAUUGGCGUGACAUUCAGCAUAGGCUUCACCGUCGGGCACACUGUGGGGGCUGCGUUCUCCCGCUGGGGAAGUACUGGGUGGUUCGCGGCCUCGGCUGUCUACGCACGCACUCUCACUGUGGCUAACAUAAUAUUCUUUGCUGUCUUCUUCCAGGAAUCGCUGCCUGAGGGCAGAAGGAGGAGGGACAUCGGUGCCAGUUUGACCGAGGCUUGGGAGGUGAUCAAUCCUAGGGCUCUGUUCUCCGUCAGCUGUGUCAAGGGCCUGGGCAGAGAAGCCUGGAGUUAACGCUGAUCUUCGCGACCCACCACAAGCAUAGUUACGACUCGUUGGCGCAGGACCGCAAGUUUUCCUUCCUGGGCCUGGUCAUGGCAAUUACACAGAGAGGGUUUAUGCGAAGUGUUAAGACUGGAACUGAAAAAGCACCUGCCAAUUAGGCACACACCUACAUUGUGAUGCAGCUCCUUGGAGGUGGAGAGCUGGCUGCCUCAGAGGAUCAGGAAACACGAGAGGUUCACAGAGGCUCGCCUCGGGCUUCGGUCGUCGUGAGGAACCUGGUGUCAGCAGUUCACUACGUGCACAGGAAAAGCAUCAGUGUUCACGGAGACCUAAAGCCAGACAGGGGUGAAAAGGGUUGGUGUUGAGGAUAGACAGAAAAGAAAAGAAAGGAAAGGUAAAAAAAGGAAGUUUUUUUGCAUUGAUUUUCCAUCUGCUUAUUUUAAAGAAUUUAUUGCAUGGAAUAUUAUUGAUCUCCAUCAUUUGUAUGGCCUUUAUAAUAAAAAGUAUGAAU